UCGGUGUUUACAUGUUCGAGCGUAGUCCCUUCAGAGAAAGCUCUCCGGAUCAGAAAGUGUCGUAGAACGGUGUGAUGCCUUCUCUCCACAGUCUGUGGUAAGAUACGCAACACGCUGGACCGAUGCUAGCAGGGGAAGGAGAGCGUAGUCCCUUCAGAGAAACCUCUCCGGAUCAGAAAGUGUCGUAGAACGGUGUGUUCCCUUCUCCCCACAGUCUGUGGUAGGAUAUGCAACACGCUGGACCGAUGCUAGCAGGGAAGGAGAGCGUAGUCCCUUCAGAGAAACGUCUCUGGAUCAGAAAGUGUCGUAGAACGGUGUGUUGCCUUUCUCUCCACAGUAUGUGGUAGGAUACGCAACACGCUGGACCGAUGCUAGUAGGGGAAGGAGAGAGUAGUCCCUUCAGAGAAAGCUCUCCCGAUCAGAAAGUGUCGUAGAACGGUGUGUUGCCUUCUCCCCACAUUCUGUGGUAGGAUACGCAACACGCUGGACCGAUGCUAGCAGGGGAAGGAGAGCGUAGCCCCAGUGACGUUAAUUGUUACCGAUGUAACACCCGCGCGCUGUGGACACUCAGGACCCCUACAUGCAAGCGAUUCUCCCAUGCUAAGCGUGGGAGGAGGCUUGGUAGGCUAGACUGCUGUGGCUACGCGAGCGCAUGAGUAGCUUUGGACCCGUGUCUGUUGGUAGAUCCCCCGUCCUCGCGCAGCCGACUACCGACGCCGUGUCCCAUCAUUUGUGUGGCUUAUGUUACUAUUGCCUUUCAAGUGCUUGCGUGCAUGUACCCGACCUGCGGGAAGUGGUGCUUCGUACAUGUUUGCCUCGCGGCGGACACCUUCGGGUGUACCGCUGUGGCCUAAUGGCGCUUGCGGCGUUUUCUAGUGGUGCUAGCAUGUUUUUUGCUCGGUGCUAUCAAGGAAGCCUCGUUGUCGCUGUUGGUUUCGGAUGCUGCUCAUGAUAAAGACUCAUGGCUCUUUUGGUGCCUAGAACCGACACAGAAGCUAUCUGGAUCAGAACGUGUCGUAGAACGGGAUGUUGCCUCUACCUCUCCAUAGUUAGUGGUAGGAUACGCAACAGGCUGGACCGAUGCUAGUAGGAGAAGGAAAGCUUAGCCCGCUCAAUUGCGACAACCUGCUCGGCCGUUAUCUGCCUGCAAGGGCAGAUUGCUACCGAUGCUGGACGUCAAAGAGGACGUGCC
rnacentral:misc_RNA from 1 species